rnacentral:tRNA from 1 species
GCGCCCUUAGCUCAGUUGGAUAGAGCAACGACCUUCUAAGUCGUAGGCCGCAGGUUCGAAUCCUGCAGGGCGCGCCA